UUCGACGAAUUGGGUCGAAUUCGAGUCGAGAAACGACAGCACAGAAUUGAGAAUCGAAUUAAUUAAGAUGCCUCGAGUGGUUUCCACUUUCGUGGUUUUCGUUCUCCGAUUACAUUAAAAACUCAAGGAUUCCUUAAGAAAACUAGGACAUAACACAUUUGCUGCCACGAUGAUGAUCGGUAACCCACGUUACUAAAUAUUUUAGCACGAUUCAAGUAUUAUAGAUUUCAGGAGCUAAAAAUGUUCGAUAACGUGAGUGACAUAGAUAAUAUUAUGAAAAAGUGCACAAGUACAAUACAAUAUUUUGGAAAAAUUCAAUAUUAUGGUGUAGUAUAUUUUAAUCUACUGUAACUCCCAUGACACAAGAUGUAUAAUAUAUAAAAUUCGCAUGAUAAGCAACAUGUAAUGUCACAUGUUCCUAACUCUCUCAGAUAGCAAAGGAUUUCUAAGAAAAGAGAAAAGAUAAUAAGAGUAAGUUUUCAAACUGAAGCACAAUCUUCAAGAUUAUAUGAUUUACCUUUAUCAAGAUUUUAAUUGCAUUUCGGUUAAAAACCUUUAAAACUUAAUCGUAAUUCAUUUAUAGGUCUUUCAGGGAGCAAAAGGUUCCUAGAAAAAAAAGAAAAGAUAAUAACUCUUCAAAAAGGAACAUAUCUUUAAGAUUAUAUGAUCUAAAUUUGAUUGUGUUUCAAUUAAAAAUCUUCAAGAUUUUAUGUUAAUUCAUUUUUGUCUUUCAGAGAGCAAAGGGAUCCUG